AACUAAUGAACUUGAAUAAGUUUGUAUUUUGAAAAUACAAGAAAGAAAUAAAACUUUCUAUUAGUUU
rnacentral:tRNA from 1 species